UAAUGGCUCACCAAGGCGUCGACGGGUAGCCGGCCUGAGAGGGUGACCGGCCACACUGGGACUGAGACACGGCCCAGACUCCUACGGGAGGCAGCAGUGGGGAAUAUUGCACAAUGGGCGAAAGCCUGAUGCAGCAACGCCGCGUGAGGGACGACGGCCUUCGGGUUGUAAACCUCUUUUAGCAAGGAAGAAGCGAAAGUGACGGUACUUGCAGAAAAAGCGCCGGCUAACUACGUGCCAGCAGCCGCGGUAAUACGUAGGGCGCAAGCGUUAUCCGGAAUUAUUGGGCGUAAAGAGCUCGUAGGCGGUUUGUCGCGUCUGCUGUGAAAACCCGAGGCUCAACCUCGGGCCUGCAGUGGGUACGGGCAGACUAGAGUGCGGUAGGGGAGAUUGGAACUCCUGGUGUAGCGGUGGAAUGCGCAGAUAUCAGGAAGAACACCGAUGGCGAAGGCAGAUCUCUGGGCCGUAACUGACGCUGAGGAGCGAAAGGGUGGGGAGCAAACAGGCUUAGAUACCUGGUAGUCCACCCCGUAAACGUUGGGAACUAGUUGUGGGGUCCAUUCCACGGAUUCCGUGACGCAGCUAACGCAUUAAGUUCCCCGCCUGGGGAGUACGGCCGCAAGGCUAAAACUCAAAGGAAUUGACGGGGACCCGCACAAGCGGCGGAGCAUGCGGAUUAAUUCGAUGCAACGCGAAGAACCUUACCAAGGCUUGACAUAUAGAGGAAACGUCUGGAAACAGUCGCCCCGCAAGGUCUCUAUACAGGUGGUGCAUGGUUGUCGUCAGCUCGUGUCGUGAGAUGUUGGGUUAAGUCCCGCAACGAGCGCAACCCUCGUUCUAUGUUGCCAGCACGUAAUGGUGGGAACUCAUGGGAUACUGCCGGGGUCAACUCGGAGGAAG
rnacentral:rRNA from 1 species